CAGUCGCCACGGGAAUACGAAGGGUGCAAGCGUUACUCGGAAUUACUGGGCGUAAAGCGUGUGUAGGUGGUUGUUUAAGUCUGUCGUGAAAGCCCUGGGCUCAACCUGGGAAUUGCGAUGGAUACUGGGCGACUAGAGUGCGGUAGAGGAUAGUGGAAUUUCCGGUGUAGCAGUGAAAUGCGUAGAGAUCGGAAGGAACAUCUGUGGCGAAGGCGACUAUCUGGGCCAACACUGACACUGAGACACGAAAGCGUGGGGAGCAAACAGGAUUAGAUACCCCUGUAGUCCCUGUCUCUUAUCC
rnacentral:rRNA from 1 species